UACGAAGGGUGCAAGCGUUACUCGGAAUCACUGGGCGUAAAGCGUGCGUAGGCGGUUUCUUAAGUCUGUCGUGAAAGCCCUGGGCUCAACCUGGGAACGGCGAUGGAUACUGGGAGGCUAGAGUGUGAUAGAGGAUGGUGGAAUUCCCGGUGUAGCGGUGAAAUGCGUAGAGAUCGGGAGGAACACCAGUGGCGAAGGCGGCCAUCUGGAUCAACACUGACGCUGAGGCACGAAAGCGUGGGGAGCAAACAGG
rnacentral:rRNA from 1 species